CCUACGGGCGGCAGCAGUGAGGAAUAUUGGUCAAUGGACGAGAGUCUGAACCAGCCAAGUAGCGUGAAGGAUGACUGCCCUAUGGGUUGUAAACUUCUUUUAUAUGGGAAUAAAACGUUCCACGUGUGGGAUUUUGUAUGUACCAUAUGAAUAAGGAUCGGCUAACUCCGUGCCAGCAGCCGCGGUAAUACGGAGGAUCCGAGCGUUAUCCGGAUUUAUUGGGUUUAAAAGGAGCGUAGGUGGAGUGUUAAGUCAGUUGUGAAAGUUUGCGGCUCAACCGUAAAAUUGCAGUUGAAACUGGCAGUCUUGAGGACAGUAGAGGUGGGCGGAAGUCGUGGUGUAGCGGGGAAAUGCUUAGAUAUCACGAAGAACGCCGAUUGCGAAGGCAGUUCACUGGACUGCAACUGACACUGAAGCUCGAAAGUGUGGGUAUCAAACAGGAUUAGAUACCCCUGUAGUC
rnacentral:rRNA from 1 species